UGUUACGCAAUUCCUUAUUCACCUUAUCUCCAAGUGGAGUAUAGCCAGCAGUUUGAUCCUUUUCCACACGAGUCAUGGGCUGAAUUAAGCUGUUCUAGUGAUAGUUAUGAAGUACAAGGUGAAAAGCGAACACAGUGUCUGUUUGGGGACUGGACAUAUCCUCAACCAACUUGUAUUGCAGCCUCUUGUUCGAUAGCAGACAGUGAACUACCUGCGCAUAGUACAGUGAAUACUAAUGAAAUAGCCCAUGGCAGCAGUAUAAAUUAUGGUUGUGAAGAGGGAUAUCAAAUACAGGAUUCUGCAAAUGAGGAUUUUAUCAAUAUUUUAUGUCACUAUGGCCUAUGGAGCAGAACACUUCCUGUAUGCGUUGAAGCUAAGUGUACGCUACUCAUUGGAGUGACUUAUGAUUAUAGCGUGAUACGAGGUUGGGAGGUCGCACCUGGAAUUGAUGUUACAUUUACCUGUGAUCAAGGUUUUCAGCAAUCUCCUUCAAAUGGGACUGUUAGAUGUCAGAAAGGUGAAUGGCGGCCACAUAUACCACAGUGUGUUCAAGAAGGUUGUGAACUACCAACAGAUAUUGUCCCACCUUUAAAACUUGAAAAUCCACCGAUUGAGUCUAUUGUUCAGC